ACGAACGCUGGCGGCGUGCUUCACACAUGCCAGUCGAACGGAAAGGCCCCUUUGGGGGUACUCGAGUGGCGAACGGGUGAGUAACACGUGAGUAACCUGCCCUUGACUUCGGGAUAACUUCAGGAAACUGGGGCUAAUACCGGAUAGGAAUCCUUGCUGCAUGGUGGGGGUUGGAAAGCUUCGGCGGUUUUGGAUGGACUCGCGGCUUAUCAGCUUGUUGGUGGGGUAGUGGCUUACCAAGGCUUUGACGGGUAGCCGGCCUGAGAGGGCGACCGGCCACAUUGGGACUGAGAUACGGCCCAGACUCCUACGGGAGGCAGCAGUGGGGAAUAUUGCACAAUGGGCGGAAGCCUGAUGCAGCAACGCCGCGUGCGGGAGGACGGCCUUCGGGUUGUAAACCGCUUUCAGCAGGGGCGAAGCUUGUGGUGACGGUACCUGCAGAAGAAGCACCGGCUAACUACGUG
rnacentral:rRNA from 1 species